UGAUGUCUGCUCAAUGAGUAAUUAAAUGGCCAUAGUAUUUAUGACUAUGCAAAGGUAGCAUAAUCAUUUGUCUUAUAAAUUAGGACUAGAAUGAAUGGAUAUAUGAAGCAUUUCUUUCUUAAAUCAAAAUUUAAAAAUAAUUUUUUUAGUGAAGAAACUAAGAUGANUAUGAGGGACGAGAAGACCCUAUUAAGCUUUAUGAAAUUCAUUUUGUUGGGGACANANAAGAAUAAAAUUUCUUUUNNANNUUNNUUUUAUAAAANAAGAUNUAUUAUUAAUGAUAAUAGAACAAGUUACUAUAGGGAUAACAGCAUAAUUUUUUUUAAAAGUUCUUAUUUACAAAAAAGUUUAUGACCUCGAUGUUGGAUUAAAAAUAUUAUAUAAUGUAGUUG
rnacentral:rRNA from 1 species